UCUAAGUAAAGGUGCAAAUCUUUUUGGGCACUGGCUUCACUUACAAUUAAGUACCAUGGAUAAGGUGUUUGUUCUGUAAUCUGUUUUAAGACCACCUCAACUCUCAUACACACCUUGGAUCGGCAAACAUCCCACCUUGAGGAUGUAAGAAGAUAUUUUAGAGGUGUCUUCUCUUUAUCACCACCCGAUGGUGCAUCUCGAAGGAUGCUGCUUACCUGUUCUCUUUAUCACCACCCAACGCGUGCUCAGGUGCACGGCAGUGUCAUCCCCCAUUGCUUAGACAUGCUUGUGCGGAGUGAGAGGCAGGCAGAGGGCUUGUGCAGAGAGGAGACCAGAGAGGCAGUAAAAGUCAGCAGUGGUAACCUUGUCCGCCCAUGGUCACGGGUCAUUUGGCAAGUGCGCUACGGAAUUCAUUUCACUAAGAAGGAGAGAAUGCGAGGGGAGAGCGAACGAGAGGAAAUAGGAGGUGACUGAGAGGGACAUUGAUGGAGCAAGAAGGAGAAGAAGAAUUUGAAUAGCAACAACAGCCUGAUGUCUCUUUUAACCUUUUUUAUCCAUAAACAUGGCAGCAUUAGGCUGUUUAAUGAUCAUUGUGCAGCUAUUUCUAAUGGAUUAUCUUAGUAAACAUCACAUCACCAUAGUAUUUUUAGACGCUUUUGCAUUCUGCCAAAAUGCUUAUGUAAAUGGAGUGUUUGGCCAAAAUUGCCUCCAAGUGCACAUCAUAUAUAUAUACAUUCAUUAGUGCUGUCAAGCAAUUAGUCACAAUUAAUCGCAUCCAGAAUAAAAGUUUUUGUUUACGUAAUAUAUGUGUGUGUACUGUGUAUAUGUAUUAUGUAUAUAUAAAUACACACAAAUGCAUAUAUUUAAGAAAAAUAUGUUAUGUUUGUAUAUUAAAUAUAUGUGUUUAUAUAAUAUAAAUAUGAACAUAAACAUAUAUUUGUAAAUACAUGUAAAUAUUUUCAAAAUAUAUGCUGUGUGUGAGUGAGUGUGUGUGUGUGUAUAUAUAUAUAUAUAUAUAUAUAUAUAUAUAUAUAUAUAUAUAUAUAUAUAUAUAUAUAUCUCAAAUUUGCACUUACAUGCAUUUACUUUACUAAUAACUGUAAAUUAUUCAUAAUUAAGGAGAUACUGAUUUGAAUAGCAGCAAUUGUACUUUUACAAAACCCUGAUGUCACGUUAAACCUUUUUAAUCAAUAUACAAGGCUGAAUUUUGAAUUUUGUUGCUAUUUCUGAUUUAUCAUCUUAGUAAACAUCAUUGGUCAUACUUUCAGGCACUUUUGCACUCUGCCAAAAGUCAUUUUCAGUGUGUUAAUAAUAAUUGUUUGGCCAAAAUGGUCCCCAUGUGCACUUCACUGUUUGCUUUUUCACUCAAUAAGUAUUUGAAACAUGCCAUGAUUUUUGAUUAACAAGAACAAGUUUGUUCCAUACAGGCAGUUUGGCAAUAAGACAUUGAGUUAGCAUAACUCUUAUGACUGUGUUGCCACAGCUUUUCCGACGCAAGAAACAAAAGUAUCCUAUUUGUUUAUAAUCCAUGCCCGUUUUUUUUCUAAAACUGGCCUUCCCAGCCUGCAUGUAUGAGGUUAUUGUUGAGACUAUGCUGAGCUUUGACACGUACAUCUUUGAAAACAGAAAGGAAUAUCAGUAGACAUUCCUUGAGAAAUUAGAGAGCACAACUCAAGUUGGG
ensembl:lncRNA